CAUCGUAUAUCACAGCGCCACAAAGCGUCUCCUCGAACAGUUUUGGACGAUAAUUGUGCUAAUAGCGUGCUCCUCGAAUGCACCCAGGGUGAAUCAUUGAAGGUGUUAGAGGUUAUGUUUCUGAAACUGAACAAGAUAUAUGAAAUUCUUAUUUUCCAGCGACUGUUUGAUAUCGAAGCAAACAUUGUGUGACGAAAUUAAUUUUUUUUAUCCGUUUCGAUACCAAACAGUUGCUAGAAAAUAAGAAUUUUAUAUUUCAUUCAUUUUCAGAAAUAUUAGCCUGUAACACCUUUAGUGAUUCACCCUGCAUAUAAAUAUAAUUUUACUGAACUAUUAUAAGUAGUAAUAAUAUAAAUAUCAAGUAAGCUUGUAUAAAUUGGAUUUUUUUUAUACGUAUAGGAUAGGACAAAGCACUGGAAUUAUACCGCGUGCAUUCAGUCAUUUAUUGGACAAAUUACGUUUGUUGGAAGCACAAGAAUAACACAGUACGAGUUUGCUUUCUCGAGUUAUAUAAUGUAGAAUUUGACUAGCUAAAUACCUAAUAAUGGUGUAACUAAAAUAAGGCUCCACUUAUGAGGGUGCUACAAGAAAAAGUUCAAUGAUCAUUCAUGGAUUAGAGGAACAAGUGUACACAAUAAAAAUGAAAUUUACGAGAUUCUAUAGAAAAAGAUAAGAGAUAAAGACAAACGGAUCUGUGGAUUGAGUAUUUUGACGAGUUUGAAUAUA